AGGCUGUUAGCUCAGUCAGUAGAGCAUAGCGCUAACAACGCUAAGGUCACGGGUUUGAUUCCCGUUCGGUCCC
rnacentral:tRNA from 1 species